rnacentral:RNase_P_RNA from 1 species
CAAUUGAAGGUAAUCGAGCCGAUUCGUCGGUUAGGAAAGUCCAUGCUAGCACAGUCUGAGAUGAUUGUAGUGAUUGUGCCUAAGGAAACAAUAACUUAGGAUACACGCAAGUGUAAUGGCGGUUAAAUUUGCUAAAGGAAACCAUGCAAAUACUGUAAUGUGCCACAGAAACGAGUCCAUUGGAAACGAUGGAAUGAAACGCGGUAAACCCCACAAGCUAGUAACCCAAAUUUUGGUAGGGGCACUCGAAGCGCAUAAAUGAAUGUAGCUUUGGGCUUAUCAUAGAGAUAAAUGAUUACACUCGAAAGAGAACAGAACAUGGCUUAUGCAA